rnacentral:rRNA from 1 species
GAUGAACGCUGGCGGCGUGCUUAACACAUGCAAGUCGAGCGAAGCGCUUUGAAUUUUUUCGGAAUGAGAAGUGACUGAGCGGCGGACGGGUGAGUAACGCGUGGGUAACCUGCCUCAUACAGGGGGAUAACAGUUAGAAAUGACUGCUAAUACCGCAUAAGCGCACGUCAUCGCAUGAUGGUGUGUGAAAAACUCCGGUGGUGUGAGAUGGACCCGCGUUGGAUUAGCUAGUUGGCAGGGCAGCGGCCUACCAAGGCGACGAUCCAUAGCCGGCCUGAGAGGGUGAACGGCCACAUUGGGACUGAGACACGGCCCAG